UGGGGGAUAUUGCACAAUGGACGAAAGUCUGAUGCAGCGACGCCGCGUGGAGGAUGACGGUCUUCGGAUUGUAAACUCCUGUUAAGUGGGAAGAAAUCUUUACGAGUAAUAUGCGUAAAGGAUGACGGUACCACUAGAGAAAGCUCCGGCUAACUUCGUGCCAGCAGCCGCGGUAAUACGAAGGGAGCAAGCGUUAUUCGGAAUCACUGGGCGUAAAGAGCGUGUAGGCGGUUAAUUAAGUCGAUUGUUAAAUUCCCUAGCUUAACUAGGGUUCAGCAAUUGAUACUGAUUAGCUAGAGGGCAAGAGAGAGAAGUGGAAUUCUCGGAGUAGCGGUAAAAUGCAUAGAUCUCGAGAGGAACACCGGUUGCGAAGGCGGCUUCUUGGCUUGUACCUGACGCUAAAGCGCGAAAGCGUGGGGAGCAAACAGG
rnacentral:rRNA from 1 species